rnacentral:rRNA from 1 species
AUGAACGCUGGCGGCGUGCCUAAUACAUGCCAGUCGAGCGAACAGACGAGGAGCUUGCUCCUCUGACGUUAGCGGCGGACGGGUGAGUAACACGUGGAUAACCUACCUAUAAGACUGGGAUAACUUCGGGAAACCGGAGCUAAUACCGGAUAAUAUAUUGAACCGCAUGGUUCAAUAGUGAAAGACGGUUUUGCUGUCACUUAUAGAUGGAUCCGCGCCGCAUUAGCUAGUUGGUAAGGUAACGGCUUACCAAGGCGACGAUGCGUAGCCGACCUGAGAGGGUGAUCGGCCACACUGGAACUGAGACACGGUCCAGACUCCUACGGGAGGCGGCAGUAGGGAAUCUUCCGCAAUGGGCGAAAGCCUGACGGAGCAACGCCGCGUGAGUGAUGAAGGUCUUCGGAUCGUAAAACUCUGUUAUUAGGGAAGAACAAAUGUGUAAGUAACUAUGCACGUCUUGACGGUACCUAAUCAGAAAGCCACGGCUAACUACGUG